UACGUAGGGGGCAAGCGUUGUCCGGAUUUAUUGGGCGUAAAGCGCUCGCAGGCGGCUCGAUGCGUCGUGCGUGAAACACCCCGGCUCAACUGGGGAGGGUCGUGCGAUACGGUCGGGCUGGAGGCCAGUAGGGGGAUGCGGAAUUCCGGGUGUAGUGGUGGAAUGCGUAGAGAUCCGGAGGAACACCAAAGGCGAAGGCAGUGUCCUGGGGAGUACCUGACGCUCAGGUGCGAAAGCCAGGGGAGCGAACGGG
rnacentral:rRNA from 1 species